rnacentral:tRNA from 1 species
GGGCUUUUAGCUCAGCUGGCUAGAGCAACCGGCUCAUAACCGGUAGGUCCGGGGUUCGAGUCCCUGAAGGCCCACCA